rnacentral:rRNA from 1 species
AACCCCUGUGGAACAUACCAAUUGUUGCCUCGGCGGAUCAGCCCGCUCCCGGUAAAACGGGACGGCCCGCCAGAGGACCCCUAAACUCUGUUUCUAUAUGUAACUUCUGAGUAAAACCAUAAAUAAAUCAAAACUUUCAACAACGGAUCUCUUGGUUCUGGCAUCGAUGAAGAACGCAGCAAAAUGCGAUAAGUAAUGUGAAUUGCAGAAUUCAGUGAAUCAUCGAAUCUUUGAACGCACAUUGCGCCCGCCAGUAUUCUGGCGGGCAUGCCUGUUCGAGCGUCAUUUCAACCCUCAAGCCCCCGGGUUUGGUGUUGGGGAUCGGCGAGCCCUUGCGGCAAGCCGGUUUCGAAAUCUAGGGGUGGUCUCGUUGCAUUUUCCUUUGCGUUUUAUUAAAACCCUCUUAAUUGGAACUUUGCGCGGCCAUUCCGUAAACCCCUAUUCUUCGUAUGUUGUUUUCUUAUAAUU